CUGUCAAACAGCUACUACCUUC
rnacentral:piRNA from 1 species